UACCAAAGUAGCUUGUGUAAGAAGAGAACAGUAUCGUAGCCACAGGGCCAGUCAGCUAAUCUACAAGGCAGACAGAACACACACAGCACUCACCUCUGUGCAGACCAAGAGAGAAGCAUGACGAAGCUACUGGAAAACUAAACCACGUCUCCAAGACAUCAUGCUGGAUACACAGGGCCAGUGGUCCGAGGCAUUAGCCGACAACAACAUGAGAGCCAUUAUCUGCUGGCUGCGGAAGCUUACAGCUAAAGAUAGGAGAAAUGGAAAGAUUUAGGUCUUUGAUACAGGGUAUCGUGACUCAGCUGGACAGACAAAAUGGGUGCAUUUGGACUUCUGAAGACUGCACAGACCAUUGCUAUCCUCCUCCUAAUCUGCAGGCCCUGCUAAAGCUUGUGCUGGUGCCUCAUAUCGACAACAUGUCAAUCCAAGCACUCGUAUCCAUCCAAAUACAGCAUCAACAAAUUCUUUGUCCUUUUUUCUUCUAUCGUGCUCUGUUCUGCUUUAUUAAUAAAUACUGUGUAUUUGAUUCCGGUUAUUAGUUCUUAACGUUUAUGCAUCACAGUUAAUGUACUUUGUUCUGGAUUUGGCGAACUUCCUGCAGUGCAAGGACGACCUCUUUAAAUCUUUCUGCCACGCUUGUACUAUUCCUUCCAGCUUUUCCCAACAUAUCAGGGCUUUCUGGAUGUUUGAUCAUGGACACAUCAAGGUACAUAACCAAGAAGCAAAAUAGAUUUUUACAUUAGGGGAGUGGCUGAUUCUAUUUAAGUCAUUAAAAUGAGCAUGUGCAUGCUGACUGUGAUGUGAGUGCAAUUCAGGGGCCACUUAACCAUCCUGUUGAUUACAUUAGCGUCUGUUUCAGCAGCCAUAAUGGACUGCAGGUGACACUAAUGGGCCACUUGAGUAGUGCUUAUGAUUAAUGUAAUAAUGCUCCACUGUGCCACUUAAUAGGGAUGAAACUACAGUAUACCUCUCUUUUGAAAGAGAAUAUUCUUUCAUGGAUGAUAAGAAAUGUGCCAGUUUAUUUCUUGGUCACAACAAGUAGGGGAGGUAUAACUGACAUAUUAAGUGGCAAGCAGCCUCAGUUGGCAUUAAGGUACCUCCACUGGACCAGAGCGCUGAGGAUGCUAAGCUCUGUGCAGAUGUGUUACUUCUAAACAGGUACAUUCUGGUACAUUAAUGGCUAGCCAGUCAUAUGUUGAAUCUUAUUGUCUUACUGUGUGUCGUUGACAAUGUCUUUGGUCUCCAGUUGUGUCUCUGAAGCCUGGGCUCUGCUGAAGAGAGGCCACACAGAAUGUGACAAUGUGGUCAUGUACCUCCUCCAGGCUUGUAAUAGACUUGGUCUAUGUGCAGAUACUUUAACGUGCAUCCCUGCAAAAUGCAAUGUAGGUGAAUGUCUUGUAAUACAGCGAAACAUAUGCUUUUUUUCCCAAAUUCUUUUAACAGGGUGCCAGAGGCACUGUAAAUGGGACUACAGGGUCACAGCUGCCACUGAUGAACAAAGGAAGGCCACCCUGCCCGCUGUCUGCCAAACUGUAUCAGGCCCAGAGAGUCAACACAGUGUCCCCAGAGGAACUGGUCCAACUACUCAGAAAGGCUGUGAUGGAAGCCACAUCCCAAGAUAAGAGGAUCUCCUCUUUCCUCAAUGAUGGAGAGAACUAAAGCAGGGAAGAGGAAGAAGAAGAAAAGAGUGGAACCCCUUCAUCAGUUGAUGGUGACGCCUUCCCAGAUUGCCUUGAGCUGACAAUGACACUAGAUGGCGCCACAGACCCCUUUUUUCUGGGCAACUUGAACAAAGACGUUUUGAUAGAGCUGGUGUUUUCUGCAGAGGAGGGAGAAGAGGAUGUUCAGACAGAUAUUUUCUCAGGCGAGGAUCUUUUCAGUGAUGCAGUUUCAGGAAUUUCCAUGGAUGAAACCCUUCCUGUACACAACAACAGUUCUACAGUAAUGAGGUCAGCCAAUCAGUGCCCUCCCUAUGUGAGCCCCAGGUGGAGAGUCACAGCUUCCUCUCACCUGACUACGCUGUCAGAGAAAAUAUCUUGCUGUAAAGGAGAAGAAAUCCUUCAUGGUCCCCCAGAUGUCACAGAUUUGUGGAGCGCUGCAUUGCCACUCAGCCAAGAAGAACAAUCGUAUUGCAUCCCUUCACAGAUUUUCAGUUUUAGUGAAACAGGCUGUUUCCUGGAAGAAUGUCACCAGAAAACAUAUGAGCAUCACCAGCAAGAGGAAGCAGUGGGAUGCUUCAAUCAAGACCUUUCCUGUGCCUGAAACCACUCAGGACAUGCUGACUGACCUUCCUCAGAGCCUUCUGCCAGAGGAUCAUGUAGCCAGUGGCCCAGGGGUCUCAGCAGGGACUGCUCAGCAGGACAUUGCCCUUCUCACCCCCAUGUGCUCUAUUUUCCCCACACAGCUUCAGAUCUCUGGUAUCCCUCAGACCCCCAGCCUAACCUGCAACAUCACAACCACCUCUGCUCCUUCUGACAUCACCAACGAGAACUCCCCCAAAGCCCAAUUAAAAACAGAUGAACCCUGUGUCCAGAGCACCUCAGCCUGGCUCGAUCGUUGCAAAAUGGGCAGCUGGUGGAAACAGGACCUGGAAAACUGUAGAGCAGGGGUCACCAACCUUUUUGAAACUGAGAGCUACUUCAUGGAACAGGCCUGAGGGCUACUCAUGUGGUCCUUGGGGGCUACCUGGUGCCCGUGGCCUGCUGUAGAGCUUCCACUGGCCUUCUAUCUGCUACAGAGCCAGGAGCAGCUAUCCCAUCAGAUAAUAAGAGGCCUUCUCUUGCACUAGGCCAACCAUAUUCCUACGACUUUAUGAACUUCACUGAAAAGCAAAAAGGGGAUAGCAGAGAUGGCUUCUAUUGAAGCUGUGGGUGUUCAUUAUAAGGAGAUAAAAGCCAGUCUGGCCAGUAGGGGUCACUAUUGUUCCAGUUAAGAAAGCUUGACAGCACCUCUGAUUUGGAUGAUCUCAUUUCUGGUCCCUGGAGAUGUUGCUUCAUCACAGCCCAGCAGGUGCCCUCUUUACUACCCUUCAUCCCUCUUUCUCCUGUCCUCCAGCAUAAACACCAUUGCUUUUAAGAUCUCCGCCUACAAUGAUGUCAUUUUCUAAAUAUGAAGGCAGUAUUUCAGGGGAUAUGAAUUAAUUGUAUAGUAUAUUGAAGUACAGAGUCAAAUGUGCAUGAAAUACCACAGAAUGAAGCUAUUAUUUAUUUGUCAAAAAUACAAUAUCUGUCGCUGAUGUACUACUUAUCUAUUUAUAUUACAUAAUUUUACUGUUGUGCGUUGACCUGACCAUUACACUGCUAAGCGCUGUAAUAUUAUUGCAGGGAUAUGACCAGGUAAUUGCUUUACUGCGGUUUGAUCAUUGGAUAAUUGUUUGAUUGGGUUGCAGUCACCUAAUUAUUUUGUUCAGAAUUGGGGACCAUAUGGAGCUUGGCAGGUGAAACGUAAUUGGGCUAUGUUAAGUUAUGAUGAUUAUACCUUGGGCCUAAAUAGCCUAUACUGUACAAACAGUGCGUGCCUAUCCCAGGCAAUCUAUUUUGGUUGCAUGGUGCAUGUUUGUAAUGAAUGCAUUACAUCAAUUAACUUGAAGUCUCAGUGUGAGAGUGUUUCCAGGGGGUUGUUUUGAAAGAAAUGUUAUUUAAUCGUUCAACCAGUCCAGAAAUGAUGCUGUGUAGGAUUUGCUUAAUUGGCAGACAGAGAGAUAUUUGAUGACUAAUGUGUGAAAAUUAGUUUAAGACAAACCCUUGCUGAUCAAACUAUCAUCUGUUUAAUGCCAGGGUGGCUAAAAUCUGGAUAUUAAACAUAGUUAUUAGUGUAAACUAUACAUUUUGAUCUUGUCCCAUAUGACCUCAUGCAUGACUGUUUAUGACGAUUAUUGUGGCACAGUUGAAAAUGAGAUAUUCACCAUGGUGAAAACAAAGUCAUCGAUCAAAUCGUAGAAGCUCAAAAAGAGAUCCUGCCCGCUUAAAAAGAUAUCACAAAAUGAAAUAUUAUCGACUUUGCUGUCUUUAUGAAAAUACCAAUAUUUGCACAGAGAGAGGCGGGGAGUAGUAGUGUUGGGUGAUGUUGCAUUUUGAAACGAGGGGAGACGAAUGGCCUCUAUUAGGAGCAUUUAAUCAGUGCUCCCAGUCUCCUGCGCCCCCCUGGGGAAAGAUUAAUGGGUACAGGAUAUUUCACCAGGCCUUCCACAUCACUGCCCAGGAUAUGAGGCUGUAAUUGGGUCUGUUUUUGCUGUUGUUUUGUGUUACAGGGAGACAAAGAGGAGCUCGCAGGUUGGAGUAGUUUGGGUAAGGAUUCACAAGGUGCCAUAAGAAGUGUGAGAACACUAUUAAGGAAAGGAAAAUGAGUGAAGAGAGCAUGAAGAUUUAGCACAUCUAUGACACAGGACAGCGCACGAGAACUGAACUGAAUGAAAUAUAUUCUCUAAGUCUUUUAGAAUUAUGCAUCUUUCCUUUGAUUCAGAAACCUAAAGCAAUACUGUAAGGAUUAACAUACACCAAAAUGAACUUACUGAUCAUGCGAAAGGCUUGAUGAUCAUUACAUAGACUUUUCACCUUGACGUCUUCUUCCUCAUCAAUCAUCUAGUCAAGAUGUCCGACCUGCCAAACCCUUUUUCUUCCACUGUAAUACCACGUGUCAGAAACACUCAAUAAUAAUGAGUUACUCAGGAAUUAUUGAUACACAUACAUUAUUAAAUAUUUGCUAAUUAAAACUCUAGUAAAAAUAGAUAUUUUUUGGCUUAUGUUUUGUAUUUUUAUUAUCUGGUCACAAGGAUGCAUGUUGAUCCAUUUGAAACAUAAAUGCACUACAUUUGAAAUGCA